rnacentral:lncRNA from 8 species
AUGGCGUACUUGGCUGCUACCGUCUCGAAGCGACGAGGUAUCACCAUAACCCCCUGUGUUCUCUUGACGAGUCCCCCCGGUUCGGUAAGGUACAGCUGGAUCUGGAGGCUGAUCCGAGUCCGAGUCAGCCUACGCUCCGUAGUUAGUGGAUCACCUGAUACCAUACUGGACACUGCGGGUCCACCUUACCGUAAGUAAACCAAAAGCAUAAGCAGGCAGAAAAAGUCAGCCGUCCACUGUGCAAUUGGACCAAAUCUACUGGCCGCUUUUUUAGGGGAAAGACACAGAACGUCAUAUUUACUACAGUAAGGCCAUUUCGAGGAAGAAUGCUGGUCAUGGAUUUUAAUUUCACACAUAAAAAAAAGACCACACUAGUGUCUGCAUGCCAGUAGUUAUCAAAUGUUAUUGAUCACAUACACAUGUUUAUCAGAUGUUAUUGAUCACAUACACAUGUUUAUCAGAUGUUAUUGAUCACAUACACAUGUUUAUCAGAUGUUAUUGAUCACAUACACAUGUUUAUCAGAUGUUAAUGGUCACAUACACAUGGUUAGCAGAUGUUAAUGGUCACAUACACAUGGUUAGCAGAUGUUAUUGAUCACAUACACACGGUUAGCAGAUGUUAUUGAUCACAUGGUUAGCAGAUGUUAUUGGUCACAUACACAUGGUUAGCAGAUGUUAUUGGUCACAUACACGUGGUUAGCAGAUGUUAAUGAUCACAUACACACGGUUAGCAGAUGUUAUUGAUCACAUGGUUAGCAGAUGUUAUCGCGAGUGUAGUGAAAUAAUUGUGCUUCUAACCUCAGAGAAAAAAGAAACGUCCUCUUACUGUCAACUGUGUUUAUUUUUCAGAAAACUGAACGUGUAAAUAUUUGUAUGAACAUAAUAAGAUUCAACAACUGAGACAUAAACUGAACCUGUUCACCAGACAUUCUACCUGUCCCAGACCUGCUGUCCCAGACCUGCUGGAACUCUGACCUGUUCACCGGACGUGCUACCUGUCCCAGACCUGCUGGAACCCUGAGCUGUUCACCGGACGUGCUACCUGUCCCAGACCUGCUGUCCCAGACCUGCUGACCAGACAUUCUACCUGUCCCAGACCUGCUGUCCCAGACCUGCUGGAACUCUGACCUGUUCACCGGACGUGCUACCUGUCCCAGACCUGCUGGAACCCUGACCUGUUCACCGGACGUGCUACCUGUCCCAGACCUGUUGUCCCAGACCUGCUGGAACCCUGACCUAUUCACCGGACGUGCCACCUGUCCCAGACCUGCUGUUUUCAACUCUCUAGAGACAGCAGGAGCGGUAGAGAUACUCUCAAAGAUCGGCUAUGAAAAAGCCAACUGACACUUACUCUUGUGUUACUGACUUGUUGCACCCUCGACAACUACUAUGAUUAUUAUUAUUUGACAAUGCUGGUCAUUUAUGAACAUUUGAACAUCUAGGCCAUGUGCUGUUAUAAUCUCCACCCGGCACAGCCAGAAGAGGACUGGCCACCCCUCAUAGCCUGGUUCCUCUCUAGAUUUCUUCCUAGGUUUUGGCCUUUCUAGGGAGUUUUUCCUAGCCACCGUGCUUCUACACCUGCAUUGCUUGCUGUUUGGGGUUUUAGGCUGGGUUUCUGUACAGCACUUUGAGAUAUCAGCUGAUGUCCGAAGGGCUAUAUAAAUACAUUUGUUUUGAAAUUUGAUUUGACUAACAGAAAUGGAAUAAUGUGUCCCUGAACAAGGGGGGGGGGUCAAAAUCAAAAGUAACAGUCAGUAUCUGCUGUGGCCACCAGCUGCAUUAAGUACUGCAGUGCAUCUCCUCGUUUACAUUACAUUUACGUCAUUUAGCAGACGCUCUUAUCCAGAGCGACUUACAAAUUGGUGCAUUCACCUUAAGAUAUCCAGUGGAACAACCACUUUACAAUAGUACAUCUAUAUCUUUUUUUGGGGGGGGGGGGGUGGAG